rnacentral:lncRNA from 1 species
GGGCUAAGACAAGGUGUUUGAUGUGGGCUUGACUCACAUGCACACAGGGGCUAUGGCAUGGACGUGGGACAACUUCCAACAAUUUGGGCUGGACAGGGGGCUCAAGUUCUGACACCAUCAAAGGGUUGUUCGGUGAGUUGCAGUGGCAAUUCUGUGGCACUUGUUGGGAAGAGGCACCACUUGUGGCUGCAUCAAAUGGCUUCAAAAGGCAUCAGAAGGCUUGGGGCUGGCAGUGUGGGGCUUGAAGUAGCACAUUUUAGGAAGAGGUGUGAUCAACUGGUAGUUUAAUAACUACCAAAACUGCCAGAUUUAAAUUCAAA